AACUCAAUGAUAAUUGCUCCGUCUCUAAGCAGUUUGAAUCUAUAAAUAGAAUAACAAAAGGAAGGAAACGAAAUUUUAACCUGAUUUCCGCCAUUAAAAAAAGUAACAUGAAACCUACAGUUCACGACACAUCGCAUAGGAAUUUAAAAUAAAUAUUAGGCCUAUAGGUUUAAUACAUAUUGCAUAGAAUAUAGAAAUUUAGAUCUAGUGUUCUGGUUAGUAGUUAUUUCAUGUUUAUUAGAAUAUAGUCUAGAAUCUAAUCAUACGGCUGCAUAAAAAGAAAGUUUGAAGGAAAUAGAAUAGGAAUCUAGAGAAGCGGAGUGUUUUCCGCACUCGAGAGGAAAGAGGUUGCAGGGAACUUAGAGACUAAUCUUUGCCAACAUACUGGAUUUCUGGUGAUGACAAUAGCAGCAGAUAGUAUGCGGCUCAGUUAAUACUAAAAACAAUUGAUUUUACUAAUUAGUGGACUAUGAGUGUGUGUUUGGCCAUCCUGAUUUCAUAACUACAACUGAUGUUCAAUUACAAGUGAUAUUAAUCAGCCUCCGUGGACUAUACACUGUGCCUAGUUUCAUCCUCAGAGACUGAUGUGUAAGCUUAAAGUAAAGACAUCAAAUCAAAGUAUCAGCCAUCAAGAGGAAAAACAUUCAAAAUCAUAUUGUGAUACACAAGUCAAGCAAGUCUGACCAGCAUUUUGAUACAGGCCAAGAAAAAGCUGGAUACUUGAUUGGAGGGGUCGCACAAAAAACAUGGGUUAUCACUAGGGAAACAAGCUCGCAAUACAGUUCACUGUUAGGACAGCAAGCCAAAUACUUCUAAACUUAUUUGAAUCAUUUUUGCUGUUUAUUAUAAUUUAUCCAAUUGUCUUAUCAAAUAUAUAAAUUUAUAUAUAUACACAAUUCCUAAUAUAGAAUUUCUAAAAAUGUUUUAUUAUAAUAUUUAAAAAUGAAACAAACAUGUUCCCAGAACACAGCCAAAUAAUGUCAACAUGUUCCAUGAACUCACAAAAUGGCAACAUGUUCCCUGAACACACACAAUGGCAACAUGUUCCCAGAACACAGCCAAAUAAUGUCAACAUGUUCCAUGAACUCACAAAAUGGCAACAUGUUCCCAGAACACACAAAAUGUCAUUAUGUGCCCAGAACACACAAAAUGGCAACAUGUUCCCAGAACACACAAAAUGGCAACAUGUGCCGAGAACACAAAAAAUGACAACAUGUGCCGAGAACAAUGCCCCUUACAGAUGACAUGUUCCCAGAACACAGCCCGUAGUUGGUCUGCCAUAAAAAGUUAACAAUACUUUACUUUUUCCUUAACAAUUUUACAAGCAGGUAGUAAAGCCAUAAAUCUUUACUGUGGAUAUAGCCAAUAAAUAGGGUAACCUUCACUAUAUGCAAUUUGUAGUUUUCAAUGCCUGUCCCAUGCAUAUUAUUUAGCAUAUGGUUUUGGGCCUUGCUUCAUUUACUCAAUAAAUUAUAUAGACAUGAGAAUUUUCAUUUAAAUCUGCAAAAGCUACAUUCUGUACAUUAUUAUUUUCAAACUACAUCAUAUAUUUUUCUCUUCUCUGAUAAAAAAUAUUCCUCAUAUUGUUUGUGUCAAGUAUUUUAUUUUUAUCUAUGCAAUGCUAUAUUCUUAUUUUAUAAUAAUUACUUUUAUACAAAUUCUUUUGAAAACUGUUCUUUAUUGAUUUGUAUCAUUUUCUUUAUUUCUGAAAAAUAAAACUUUGUUUGGGAAUCC